AACGAACGCUAGCGGCACGCCUUAUACAUGCAAGUCGAACGGACUUUACUUGAGCUUGCUUGAGUGAAGUUAGUGGCAAACGGGUGAGUAACACGUGGGAAUCUGCCCAUCAGUACGGGAUAGCCUUUAGAAAUAGGGGGUAAUACCGUAUAUUCUCUUCGGAGGAAAGAUUUAUCGCUGAUGGAUGAGCCCGCGUCAGAUUAGCUUGUUGGUGGGGUAAUGGCCCACCAAGGCUAUGAUCUGUAGCUGGUCUGAGAGGACGGUCAGCCACACUGGAACUGAGACACGGUCCAGACUCCUACGGGAGGCAGCAGUAGGGAAUAUUGGACAAUGGGCGCAAGCCUGAUCCAGCGAUGCCGCGUGGGUGAUGAAGGCCUGAGGGUCGUAAAGCCCUUUUAGUGGAGAAGAUGAUGACGGUAUCCACAGAAAAAGCUCCGGCUAACUCCGUGCCAGCCGCCGCCGUAACAC
rnacentral:rRNA from 1 species